UAAUACGAGGGGGGCAAGCGUUGUCCGGAAUCACUGGGUGUAAAGGGCUCGCAGGCGGAUCGAUCAGUCACGACUUAAAGACCCCGGCUCAACCGGGGAGCUGGUCGUGAUACUGUCGGUCUUGAGUUCGGUAGAGGGAAGCGGAAUUCCUGGUGUAGCGGUGAAAUGCGUAGAUAUCAGGAGGAACGUCGAAGGCGAAGGCAGCUUCCUGGGCCGAUACUGACGCUGAGGAGCGAAAGCGUGGGGAGCAAACAGGAUUAGGUACCCUGGUAGUCCACGCCGUAAACGAUGAGUACUUGGCGGUGGGGGAUUCGACCCCCUCACUGUCGGAGCUAACGCGUUAAGUACUCCACCUGGGGACUACGACCGCAAGGUUG
rnacentral:rRNA from 1 species